rnacentral:rRNA from 1 species
CUACGGGGGGCUGCAGUGGGGAAUAUUGCACAAUGAGCGAAAGCUUGAUGCAGCCAUACCGCGUGUGUGAAGAAGGCCCGAGGGUUGUAAAGCACUUUCAAUUGUGAGGAAGGUUCAGUAGUUAAUACCUGCUGUUCUUGACGUUAACUUUAGAAGAAGCACCGGCUAACUCUGUGCCAGCAGCCGCGGUAAUACAGAGGGUGCAAGCGUUAUUCGGAAUUACUGGGCGUAAAGCGCGCGUAGGCGGAUUAUUAAGUCAGUUGUGAAAGCCCUGGGCUCAACCUUGGAACUGCAUCUGAUACUGGUAGUCUAGAGUUUAAGAGAGGGAAGUGGAAUUCCAGGUGUAGCAGUGAAAUGCGUAGAUAUCUGGAGGAACAUCAGUGGCGAAGGCGACUUCCUGGCUUAAAACUGACGCUGAGGUGCGAAAGCGCGGGUAGCGAACGGGAUUAGAUACCCCCGUAGUC